GAAUCCUACUUCUAUAGUACUGUUCGUCGACAUGUAUCGUUAAUAUUACAAGUUGUUAUUAUUUAGCUCAAAUUCAUGAGUAGGUAUGUUUUAGACAUAUAAACUGAAUUGGGAGCAUAUUAUUAGUUAUUAUUAAUCAUACAUGUUGAACUAGGAUAAAACAUAGGAGAAAACCAGCGUUCGGGACCUGGCAUAUGUUGAACUAUCUGAUUUAGCCCUAAGGGCCGUUGUAUUUUUAUACUGUUGCAGUAUCCUCAUAGUGAGUAUCCCAGGUAGUUCAGAUUUCAGUUCCGCUCGUGCUGGGAUGCCGAGCCGAUUUUUACAGUAGUGUUUAUAGUGAUCCGGACUAGUGGGUGCCGUGGUGGUUGACGGCGGACCCGGAAUUGAUUGUUUCUGUAUCAGAUUGUGCCGAGAGCAUGUGACCAGUGGUUAGUAGUACUGUUAGACCUGUUUUUUUGAUUUUAGCCUGUGAGAGCCUGAUUGAGCUCGACAGAGAUACGCUUGCAUACUCGGUUGGGUCGCGCCCACGAGUGCCGCUCCGGAGUCUGGCUCUGUGCUUUCGCAUUGAUGUCGCUGAUUAGUUGCUAUCCGCGAACUGUUUAGCGUAGAGGUAGCGCGGCUUAGACAGGCGGGAUGGGUGCGUACACAGUCCCUAUUGAGAUUGGGUCAGAAUUGAUAAUAGACACAAAUUGAAUAGUGUAGUGGCAUGUAGCUGUAGAUUUCUUUCCAGCUUUACCUACUAAGUUCGUUUCCUAUUGUAAUCUUAGUGGGUGAGCCGAUGAUUUUGAGGGCGGUACCCACUGAGGACUACUUAUUUUUACAGUAGUUCUCACGCCCUGUUGUUACUAUGUGUUUUGCAGAGCCUGCUGCUCUGGCUGCUGCGUCUUCCGAGGCUGAUCGAGGCAAGGGCGUCGCGAAUUAGAGCCCUACCCGAUGAGUUGCUGAGAUAGAGGAUCCACCACUGCAGGUAGUUACGGUUUAUUUUGUUGAGUUCAUGUACAUACAGUUGUUAUAACUCGCUGGAGCGAGUACCUUUGUAUAGCGUUUUGUUGUAUGUAUGUGAGACUUGUUUUAUUCUACCUGUUUGGUUUCUUUACAGCUCUAUACUACUGGUUGUAGUAUUGUAUAUUUUUAGUUACCGAUACGCUUCGUAUACAGAAAAAAUUCUUUGUAUACGGCGGAUUUGUCGACGUGCCCGGGAAUUGUGUAAUCCGGGGCGUGACAAUAUAUAAAU
rnacentral:lncRNA from 1 species